AACGAACGCUGGCGGCAUGCCUAACACAUGCAAGUCGAACGAGACCUUCGGGUCUAGUGGCGCACGGGUGCGUAACGCGUGGGAAUCUGCCCUUAGGUUCGGAAUAACUCAGAGAAAUUUGAGCUAAUACCGGAUAAUGUCUUCGGACCAAAGAUUUAUCGCCUUUAGAUGGGCCCGCGUAAGAUUAGCUAGUUGGUGGGGUAAAGGCCUACCAAGGCGACGAUCUUUAGCUGGUCUGAGAGGAUGAUCAGCCACACUGGGACUGAGACACGGCCCAGACUCCUACGGGAGGCAGCAGUGGGGAAUAUUGGACAAUGGGCGAAAGACCUGAUCCAGCAAUGCCGCGUGAGUGAUGAAGGCCUUA
rnacentral:rRNA from 1 species